rnacentral:tRNA from 1 species
GGGGGCGUAGCUCAGUUGGUAGAGCGCAUCCAUGGCAUGGAUGAGGUCGAGAGUUCGAGUCUCUUCGCCUCCA